UGCUGCUGCUCCUGUUGCUGGUGCCAAGGGCCUGUCCCAGGCCAGUCCUACACAGAGGGAGGCCCAGGAGAAGAAAUCCUUAGGUGUUGAUGCAGAAGUUCUCCUGAGGACAGCCUUUGCUCCAUGGGCACACAGAGAGUCAGCAGCUUCCGUGGAACCAUACACCUACCCUCCAGUUUCUGUGAAGCCCGGUACCUCUCUCCCUGACCUCUGGAGAGAUGGACCAUCCAAGCAGGACAUCGCUAAGAAGAAAUUUGGGAACAAGAGGAAGAAUGUCCAGCCUGUGUUCGGAGGAGCUGGUGACCAAAACAAAGAAGCAGUCCCAAGGACCCAACUUCCAGCUCACAGGUACGUUCAUCAUGGAGGAUUCAGCAGUGGGGACUGUGACAUCCAAGACCCACAAGUUGCAGCAAACUUCCAGCCUUUGGCCUCAAGCCAGGGAAGUGUCACAGCCAGAGGCCCUGUGAUCUCUGGUGACCAGGAACCAUGUGUUCAUCGACAGAUACCAGAACUGCCAGAAUUGACACCUGAAUCAGAGGGCUGUCUUCGGUGUGUUGUGCUGUGAGACGAGGUGGAAGACCUUAAAGAUGAAGUAGUAGUGAUCCAGUACUUACACAAACAGUUCCAGAAUGUAUGAUGU